AACACAGUGACUCGUUAGAACUCCUAGACUAGUCAGAUAAGCCCUGGCCCUGGCCCUGGCCCUUGCCUUCACCCUUAUAACAUUGGCCAAAGCUUGGGCAUGCUUUCCUGGGUACAUCUUCCACCCUUUCUAAAGCUCCUCCCCAGUCCUUCCCAACAUGACUGCUUGUUCUGUGGGCACUUACAAACAGCAUGGCUCUUUCUCUUCUUCUCUGUCUCCCUACAGCUUGCCUACAUUUUUUUUUCUUAAACUCUAAUAAAAUUGUCCUUAAGCUUCCUUUGACUUUGUUUAUUUAUUUAUUUAUUUAUUUAUUUAUUUAUUUAUAUUAAUGAAGCCAAGAACUCCAAAUUUCUUCAGUGACACGGCCACAUUGAAUAAUUUUUUUUUCAUCUUUUUGCUAUUGUGUGUUUAAUUGGCCUAACAAGGAUGGGUUGCCAAAAUUGGUAGCUGUAUGGGGUUCACUCAAGCUAUAACCCUAAUGACAGAUGUAAGGCCUGGGUGAAGGUAAAGAUGUCCCCCUUCUUAGGGCUCUUUUAAAUACAAGAAAUUUCCCUGUAACAGUGCAUGGUGUCUUACACUUCAGUCCCAAAUUUGGUGUGUGGUGGGUUGAAUGAGAAUGGCCCCCACAGACUUGAACAUUUGAAUGUUUGGUUCCCAGCUGGUGAAGUUGUUUGGGAAGGAUUAGGAAAUGUAGCCUUGGAGGAGGUGUGUGUGGGGUGUAGGCAUUGGUUUCAAGAGAGUCAUGCCUUUCCCAUUGUCUCUCUGUCUCCUUGCAGAUCCAGAUGUGAGCUCUCAGCUACUGCUCCAGUGCCAUGGCUACCAGCUAUUAUGCUCCUGCCAUGAUGGUCAUGAGCGCAGACCUCUCAAUCUUUGGGUCACAAAUAAACUCUCUUCUGAGCUGAUUGCUGAGCUGGGAAGAACCUUGCCUCUGAUCUACAGCAGCCUAGGAUUUUGGCAGUGGAACAGGAUCCUAGCACAGAGUCCACUUCCUGUACAGGAAUGAGUUGACACGAAUGGCAAGAGCCAUUGUGGAGGAUGCUCUGUCAUCUGCAUCUUUCACUUACUAGAGUGAUGGGAAGAACCUGCUCCAGAUCCAUAUGCUUUUGCCCUGACUCUUGUGACUGGAAGGCAUCUUUGACUUUCCUGAGCUUAUGGAAGUUCUGCCCAAGCUCUGCCUUUGGAUUCACACUGUACUGCCCUUGCCAGGGUAUGCCUGUGUCCAAGCAACCUUCUGUCUGGGGACAGUAUAGCAUCACAGCCCACUCCAGUGACCUCGAUUUAAGCUGCCAAGACCCUAUUCCCAAAUCUGGUCUCAUGUCAAAGUACUGCACCUAGAAUUUCAGCACAGUUGCUGUGCUUCCUUCUCCCCAUGUCUGUGUUAAGAGCAGGCUCAGCAAACCUACAGCUGCACCACAGCAGGGACUAAUAAAGCCCAGUCAAUGCGU
rnacentral:lncRNA from 1 species